ensembl:lncRNA
AAAUACAUGCCAUUUAUUUCUGUACAUAACCAAAGCACUUGUAAUUAGUGUCUUCAGAUGGAAAACCAGACAAAUUUGCGCCACCCCCCCCCCCCCCCCGAGAUUAAGUGCUAUGUUGUCAGGCUCAUGCUAACAAAAUAAUAAAAAAAAAGCUCAAUGCCUCUUUUUUUUUUUUUCCCUAAAAAGUACAUUUUAUAAUUAAGAAAAGGGCUAAAAAUAUUUAAAAGGCAUAUUCUUAUCGGGAAGGAAUAAAAGAAUACUGCUUUUUCCUUGUGAGCCUUGCUCCAGUGCUGGAGAGAUGUUCGGUGGUUGCGGCUGAUAGCAAUCCAACUUGAGAGAAGAAUGCAAAACAGAAGAACAAUAUUUACUUGAAGCUAAUUGUAAUUUUCACAAAUGGUCACCAAAAGAGCCCAAAUAUCAGCAGAAAAGAGAAGCUGCUGUGUCUCUUUGUUGCAGGAACACUGCCUUCCUGCAUGUAGGGUUAAGGCAAUCUUAUCUCCAUCUGCUGCCUCGAUUAGAAGAGAAGGGGAACUGCUGUUCAGGUGAUAAGAGAGACCAGAGGCUUCUCCAUUAAUAUGUAAACUUUGGAUCAAAAAGGAAGACAAGAGGCUCCAGGCAGAAGCCACCUCUCAAUAGAUGGGUUUUGAAUUUGCAUGCACCAGCAAAAGGCACAUCUAGUAUGUGCUGGCUCCUAUAAAGGGGAGGAAGGGAAGGGAUGGGAUGGGAUGGAGGCAUGACCCCACUAAACUUUUCCUGUUUGGUUUGAAUAAUGUCUACCUGUGAAGGAUGUUUACCUGAAGUAAUGUCUUUGUAAUGUUUGUCCAAGCUCUCUGUGAUAGAUUCUCAAAUCCAGAAAGGAUCAUGUCAGUCAAACCUAAUCUCUUACCCUUCAUGGCAAGCAACAUUUGUAUUUGCCCUGUAGGAUGGACUGAGCCACCAAUAACUCGUUAAAAAAACAAAACCAAAAGGACAGAGAACUUGCCAAGCACCUGGCCAGCUUAUGCCAUGGUUUAUGCCCUGCCUGUCUUGGAGGGGGAAAAACAUGUGGAAAAAUUCAAGUGUCAACACUAGAUCAGGAAACAGUCACUGAGGGUCUGCAUCACAAGGGUGUAUGCAGAGCUGCAAUGAGAUGCAUUAAUGCCUUGGAGACACCAAUGUCUCUUCCCAUUUUCCUUCAGCCAGUCCCUACUUGAGUCCCCCUAUGUCUUUCCAGCCUCCCUCCCUCAGCAGCUUGUGGGUCUUCAGUAUUUUUCCAACUUUUUAAGCUCCAUCUUCAAGACAAUUUUCCCUGUUUCGAGACGAGGAUUGAGAAUGCUGGUCCAUGCUCUUUAGAAGGGCCUCUUGCAAUUUGCUACACUCUCCCCUGCUCUGUUUUAACUUUGCCUUCAUUUCCCCAGUUUUGGGGAAAGCUCUUUGGGCUGCAUUCCUCUACCUUGCUCUUUUUUUUUUUUUGCGCCGAGUAGAAAUCUGACCCUCACUGAAGCACAAGCUGUUCUCCCACAGGCAUCACCUUUGCUGCCUGAUGUGGCAUCAGCCACAUCCCUGGCAACAGAGUGCAAAUUCCCCCCAGGAAUGAGAGGAUGGCCCCAACCUGUGAGGGCAUCUGAGUUGCCUUCAUAUGAAAAUAAAUGUAAACACCUUCAAUUAAUCCAGGAAGAACACAGACUGAUUGGCAAUAGGCUAUGGAGAAUUUGUGUUGCUUAUCUGCCUUUCUCCCUGAAGAUUAUUCUGGGGCUGCAUUUAAAAAAAAAAAAAAAAAAAAA